UCUCUUCUUUCGACUUUCUUCCUCUAGUACUCUCUUGUAUACUUCUGAUGUACCUGGGUGCAUCCCUUUUCUUUUUUGGCACUUGUCAUGAUUUCGUUACUUGCCUAUAUGAAAGGACAAGUUUUUUAUUCUGAAUAGGCCUAUGCCAUUUUCACUGUACUAGCCUAUGCCAUUUUCACUGUACUAUCUCUAGAAUUGCCCUAUUUCUGAUAUUUCAUAACCUUUUAGCAUCAUUGCUUCUAUUUCUAUAAGAAACAUGGGACAGAGGGAAUAAUUAGCUAGAUAUAGCUUAUGGAAGAAACCAGAGGUGAAUGACUG
rnacentral:misc_RNA from 1 species